rnacentral:rRNA from 1 species
UAAUGUAUGGGGAUCUGCCCGAUAGAGGGGGAUAACUACUGGAAACGGUGGCUAAUACCGCAUAAUGUCUACGGACCAAAGCAGGGGCUCUUCGGACCUUGCACUAUCGGAUGAACCCAUAUGGGAUUAGCUAGUAGGUGGGGUAAAGGCUCACCUAGGCGACGAUCUCUAGCUGGUCUGAGAGGAUGAUCAGCCACACUGGGAUGAGACACGGCCCAG